rnacentral:rRNA from 1 species
UUGACGCAGGGAGUCCGGUGCACGGGGUAAGCCUGUGUACCGUGAGGGAGACAACCCAGAGCUGGGUUAAGGUCCCCAAGUGUAGACUAAGUGCGAUCGAAGGUAGUCUCAAGCCCUAGACAGCCGGGAGGUGAGCUUAGAAGCAGCUACCCUCUAAGAAAAGCGUAACAGCUUACCGGCCGAGGUUUGAGGCGCCCAAAAUGAUCGGGGCUCAAGUCUACCACCGAGACCUAGCAGCACCCUUGAUCGGGUGAUCUCGUAGGUUGGCGUUCUGUUCGGGUGGAAGCACGGCUGAGAAGUCGUGUGGACCGUUCAGUAACGAAAAUCCUGGUCAUAGUAGCAGCGUUAGUCGGGUUAGAACCCCGACGGCCGAACGAGUAAGGGUUCCUCAGCAAUGCUGAUCAGCUGAGGGUUAGCCGGUCCUAAGUCA